UUCUUCAAACAACUUUCCCAGCCCAUUCCUUGACUCAAUUCAAAUUCUUCGACAAAAUAAGAGCCCAAUUACAAAAUCAACCCAGAAACGCAGCAAAAUCCAGAAAGAAAAAUCGUGACCCGACCCCUGCGCCAUCAUCUUCUUCUCCGCAUGAAUCCAGACGCGAAAAAUCCAGAAACGUGAUUUUUGCCAGAAUCUAAUCCAGCGCGUCGUUCUCUCCUCUCUCCUCAUCAUCUCUGUACAUCAUAUUGUCGGUUAGUCUAGGUGGAGCAAUCACACGCGAGAAUCGUCCUUGCUUUAUGAAUCGGACAACUCCCUUCUUUUUUCCAUUGACAAUUCAUACAUAAAUUCAAGCUGGCAGCCUGGUCCCCAGAUUAUAUUGAAUUUUGAAUUUGAUUUUGUCCCUUUUUCCCCUAAAAAAAAGUCAACCCUAAUUUCCUGCUUUAUAAGCUCCUUUUCUUCUUCAUGAGUUGGGAGUUGGGAAAAUUCCAAACUAAGUUGUUUAUUCAUAAAGGAAUAGAGAGGAGACAUUCAUAUAGAAAUAUAGUUACAUAAAAGAUAACAUUCAAAUAUUAGAGGAGGACAACUAUUCGAUCAUAACUUCGUUUGCUCAGCAUAUUUCUGUCGAUUUUCUUUCGAAGUGCACGAUGGUGGUGAAGCUGCUGCUUCGCUCGUCUCGUCCUAGUCGCUGCUCAAAAAAGUAUUUUGAGUUUGAGGCAGACACUACUUGGAAAAAGGAGCAAAAAGGAUUAAAAGAACGAAGAAAUAUUGAGGAUCGCCGAGUCCAUUUGGAGAAUAGUUGAUAGGUAUGAAGAUCGCCUUUUGUUCUAGUGUGUUAAGCAAUGCAGGAAAGGAUCAAAUUGAUGGUGAAAAAAAGCAGUCUGUGCAUUACUGAGCAGUUCUGCGAAGUAGUUCUUAUGACAUAGUAAUCCAGAACGUGAGGAUGCUUUGAAUAAGUGCAAGACAGUGAUGAAGUUGUGGAAGGGUAAAUCCCGACUUGAUCGGUGAUUCUAACUAAUUGCGCCGACUGAUCCGCUGCAGCACUACUCUUUGAAAAAUAUAAAUACUAUUUAGUGUUUUAUCUUAGUAUCGAGAUUUAUUAGACUUGUAUCAAUAUUUAUCAAUUUUUGAGCUCUAAGUUUGAGAUGGUUGUUGGAGAAUAACAUGAAGAUCAAAAGGGUUUCAUCUCCAAGGAUUUGGUCUUCGGUCUCUUUGCUUCUUCAUUCUUGACCUCUAACAAGACUUAAAUCUUCGUAACCAUUUGAAUUCAAGAUCAUUUUUGGUAUAAAUUUCUGUCACUUGUUCAUGUCUAGAUAAAACCCCAAUUCUUGGGGUGUAAUUUUGUUAAUAUGGGUUAAAUUAGUUGUUGGGUAUUCCUUGCUGAUAGUUUAUUCGUAGUUUCAUUGUGAUUUGAUUUAGUAACUGUAGAUGAAUAUAAUGAUUCUGUAGUUGUAAAUA